rnacentral:rRNA from 1 species
UACGGAGGGGGCUAGCGUUAUUCGGAAUUAUUGGGCGUAAAGGGCGCGUAGGCGGCCCGGUAAGUCAAAGGUGAAAUCCCUCGGCUCAACUGAGGAACUGCCUUUGAAACUGUCGGGCUCGAGGCCGGGAGGGGGUAGCGGAAUUCCCAGUGUAGCGGUGAAAUGCGUAGAUAUUGGGAGGAACACCGGUGGCGAAGGCGGCGUUCUGGACUGCAACUGACACUGAUGAACGAAAGCCAGGGGAGCAAACGGG